UGCUUGAACCCAGGAGACGAGAUUGCAGUGAUCCAGGAUCUUACCACUGCACUCCAGCCUGGGUGGCAGAGCAAAACUCCCUUCUCAAUAAUGGGGGAAAAAAAAGAUGUUUUAAUUAAUAUCUUUUGUGAUGAGAGGCCAAUUUAAGACCGAGGAAAAUGACUGGAUUGCUUUAUAGCUAUUAACAAAUCAAGCAUUACACUACUUUGCCAAGAAAUCUGCAAUUAUAAAGUGCUUCUGAACUUUAAGAUGACAGUUACAACCUUUAUUUAAUAAAAUAGCCACUUGUCCAGCACACCCUUCCCACAAUCUAUCUCUAAGUAUCCAAUUAAUGAUGCAAAAACCCCAUCCUCAACCUGGUUAACAAAGAAUGCUCACGCAACAUGACAAGAAUUAGUAGUAUUAGAAUUGUUUUGAGACAGGGUCUCAUUUUGCCACCCAGGUUGAAGUACAGUGAUACGAUCUUGGUUCACUGCAGCCUUGACCUCCUAGGCUCAAGCAAUCCUCCCAUCUCAGCUUUCCAAGUAGCUGGGACUAUAGCCUCCACAGAGGGUCUAUUAUGUUUUGAUAUUAGCCAUGGAUAUAUUUAACACAAACAUUUACUAUUAACCAUCAAUUUUUCUUAUGCUUCAGCGUUAAGUUCAUCAUAAACUUGGUAUUAUUUAGUUCACAAUGGUAGACCUGAAUUUAUACUUAAUAUUGAGUUCUAAUUUAAGUUUCUUACAGAGAUGCUUUUGGGUAUUUACAAUUAAAAGCAAUUCAAUUUAUCUUAGACUAAGGAUUGAAAAUUGGUGAAAGCUUUUAAGGCACUUACUUUAAAUUGUUUUACAAAAACUGGGACAAACUUUUGUCCAGGGAUGCUUCCCCCAGCCACCUGGUAUUUAGGUUCACACAAAACAUCUAACUGAAACACAUUUUCAAUGUUGCAUACUCAAGAGACAAAAAGCUAAAAAUCUGAUCCUAUGUAUUCAACCUCUUAUGAUUCAAACAAUGGUUAACAAUCUAUUACAAGAUACAUUUUACACAGUAUAACUGUCUUGCUAUAUUUUCCCAGCAUAUCUCCAGGAAAUAUGUUGUAAGAGUAAUGGAAAACACAUUAUAAAAAACCAAAACCAACAACCCAAAUAUGUAAAGAUGUCAAUUUGAAUGGUUUAUAAAAUUCUUUACCGAGUAAAAACAGCAUGGUCCUUCUGAUCUAACACAAUGAUUAUA